rnacentral:rRNA from 1 species
UACGAAGGGUGCUAGCGUUGUUCGGAAUCACUGGGCGUAAAGCGCGCGUAGGCGGCGUUUCAAGUCAGGGGUGAAAUCCUUGGGCUCAACCCAAGAAUUGCCUUUGAAACUGUAACGCUAGAGUGUCGGAGGGGAUAGCGGAAUUCCUAAUGUAGAGGUGAAAUUCGUAGAUAUUAGGAGGAACACCGGUGGCGAAGGCGGCUAUCUGGACGACAACUGACGCUGAGGCGCGAAAGCGUGGGGAUCAAACAGG